rnacentral:rRNA from 1 species
UCGGAGACGGUGCUCGUGCGGGCGGUGAUGCGACACGCGUAUCCGAAAGACUCUCGGCAACGGAUAUCUCGGCUCUUGCAUCGAUGAAGAACGUAGCGAAAUGCGAUACUUGGUGUGAAUUGCAGAAUCCCGUGAACCAUCGAGUCUUUGAACGCAAGUUGCGCCCGAAGCCAUUAGGCCGAGGGCACGCCUGCCUGGGUGUCGCCCAUCGUUGCCCCAGUGCCUUGGCCUCGUGCUAGGGACCGAGCUGGGCGAAUGCUGGCUUCCCGCGAGCAACGCCUCACGGUUGGUUGAAAACUGAGUCCGUGGUGGAGGGCGCCGUGACGGAUGGUGGUUGAG